rnacentral:snRNA from 1 species
GUGCCCAUUUCAGCAGCCCAUAUACUAAAAUUGGAACAAUACAGAGUUUAAUGUGGCCCCUGUGAAAGGAUGACAUGCAAAUUCAUAGUGUGCCAUAUUUUU